rnacentral:rRNA from 1 species
CGCCGCGGUUAUACGAGAGGCCCAAGUCGAUGAAGCCCGGCGUAAAGAGUGGUUAAGGAAUAUCAUACCUAGAGAAAAACGUUCUUCGAGCUGUUAUACGCCCACGAGAACACGAAGCCCCAACACGAAAGGAACUCUAUUUCCCCUGAACCCACGAGAGCUUUGGUA